rnacentral:rRNA from 1 species
UUAAAGGGUACGUAGGCGGGUUUUUAAGUCCGUGGUGAAAGCCUACAGCUUAACUGUAGAACUGCCAUGGAUACUGGAAAUCUUGAAUUCAGUUGAGGUAAGCGGAAUUUAUGAUGUAGCGGUGAAAUGCAUAGAUAUCAUAAAGAACACCUAUUGCGAAGGCAGCUUGCUGGACUUGGAUUGACGCUGAGGUACGAAAGCGUGGGGAGCGAACAGGAUUAGAUACCCUGGUAGUCCACGCCGUAAACGAUGAUCACUCGCUGCUGGCGAUAUACUGUCAGUGGCCAAGCGAAAGCAUUAAGUGAUCCACCUGAGGAGUACGCUCGCAAGAGUGAAACUCAAAGGAAUUGACCGGGGUCCGCACAAGC